UUGGCUCAGAACGAACGCUGGCGGCAUGCCUAACACAUGCAAGUCGAACGAUCCCUUCGGGGAUAGUGGCGCACGGGUGCGUAACGCGUGGGAAUCUGCCCUUGGGUUCGGAAUAACAGUGAGAAAUUACUGCUAAUACCGGAUGAUGUCUUCGGACCAAAGAUUUAUCGCCCAAGGAUGAGCCCGCGUAGGAUUAGCUAGUUGGUGGGGUAAUGGCCUACCAAGGCGACGAUCCUUAGCGUGUCUGAGAGGAUGAUCAGCCACACUGGGACUGAGACACGGCCCA
rnacentral:rRNA from 1 species